rnacentral:rRNA from 1 species
UACAGAGGUCCCAAGCGUUGUUCGGAUUCACUGGGCGUAAAGGGUGCGCAGGUGGGUUGGCAAGUUCGAUGUGAAAGCCCCGGGCUUAACCCGGGAAUGGCAUUGGAUACUGUUGAUCUGGAGGGUCGGAGGGGGGGACUGGAAUUCUUGGUGUAGCAGUGAAAUGCGUAGAUAUCAAGAGGAACACCAGUGGCGAAGGCGAGUCCCUGGACGAUACCUGACACUGAGGCACGAAAGCCAAGGGAGCAAACAGG